rnacentral:rRNA from 1 species
GAUGAACGCUGGCGGCGUGCCUAAUACAUGCAAGUCGAACGAACAGACGAGGAGUUUGCUCCUCUGAUGUUGGCAGCGGACGGGUGAUUCACACGUGGAUAACCUACCUAUCAGACUGGGAUAACUUCAGCGAACCGUAUCUAAUACCGGAUAACAUGUUGAACCGCAAGGUUCCACAGUUGAAUACGGUCUUUCUGUGACUUAUAGCUUGCUCCGCGCCGCAUUAGCUAGUUGGUAAGGUAACGGCUUACCAAGGCAACGAUGCGUAGCCGACCUGAGAGGGUGAUCGGCCACACUGGAACUGAGACACGGCCGAGACUCCUACGGGAGGACGCAGUAGGGAAUCUUACGCAAGGGGGGAAAGCCUGACAGAGCAACGCCGCGUGAGUGAAGAAGGUGCUAGGAUCGGAAAGCUCUGUUAUUAGGGAAGAACAAAUGUGUAUGUACCCAGGCUGGUCUUGACGGUACCUAAAGAGAAAGCUCCGGCUAACUACGUG